rnacentral:lncRNA from 1 species
UCUUUUCUCAUGUUUUGUGAUAAAAUGUUUCUCUAGCUUGUUAAUAUAUACUGGACUACUGGUUGGUAGCACUGAGAUUGACACUCUACAUGACGCGGACAAUGACAUUUCGACACCGCUAAUAGUUUGAGAAAAUCACAUAAUUCAGUGUAAUUUUAAAUGUCGAUGUCGUGUUGGUGUUGGACACGACACGUAUCUGACACUGGAACACGCCUAUUCGAAGAAGUGUUCGUACUUCAUACCGGUACUUCUUAGUCUUAGUUUUAUGGCAAUAAUUUUUACGUGUAGUUGAGCUAAGAAAAACGUCAUGUGAAUGCAUAAUAAUUAAUUUUAUUAGGUCCACUUCCAGUGUUAUAGUGUUUAUAGUUGAAAAUAUGAAAUGUGGAAAUGUUAGUAUUUGACUUGCAGUAAGUAUGCACUAGGAAUUAUUGGAUACAAUUCAGACCUCAAGAUUGUAAUUAUGUGAAAAUAACGUGUUUUUUCCUAUAUGUACAAAUUAUCUUCCCACUACCAUGUGUACUGCAAUUGUAUAUGAUUGAUGCCAAUAUGUAAUCAUGGAUUUUUGAUGGAAUACUUUUGAGG